CGCGGCGCCUUGGGAAGUGGGGGACGCGAAGCUGCACACCGACUCGGAUGGGGCCUUCUGCCAGGGGCGGCCCUGCCUGGCCGGCUUAUAGGAUGCAGCCUGUUCGUGGGCUUCCCCAGGAGGCUUUUGCCGGCCGAGUUGUCUCUUUCAGGUAUUAUGGUCAUAGAGAUAGAAAACUGCCUCACACAAGAAGCCAUGUGAUUUGGGGGAGGAGGGCCUAGAGAUUUUUGUGAAGCUACACCUGCCCUGGGGGAAGAGGUGGCCUGUGUACAAUAGAAAGGAGGAGAAGAGGGUUGCUCUUGCCCCGCUUUUGCUCCGGUUGCUUCUUUGAAGUGUUGCCCUGUUGCCAUACAGCCUGCCUUGGAGCCAACUGAUUAUGGACUGAAACCUCCACACAGUGUAAGCUAACUAAACUUUUCCUUCCUUAAUUUUGGUUGUUGGGUAUUUUGUCUCAGCAAUGAGAGAGAAGUAACCAAGACAUGGAGUAAAUGAAACUCUUAUUUGGCAUUUUCUUAUAAAACCAAAUAUACAUUUACUCAACGUUCUAGGACAGUGAACCUUUUUAGAGCCUUCAAUGAUACAAACACCCCACCGUAGUACACAUGCCAUAGGUACAACACCUCUGUCAAAGGAAUUCCACAUCCAUAGUGCCCAGAAAAAUUAAUUCAUUGUCCAUCAAAAACUUCUACAAGAAUGUUCAUAGCAGUUUUACUCCCAAUGACUAAAGACUAGGCAAAAUUAAAAUGUCCAUCAUCAGGAAAAUAAAAUGACUUGUGAUAUAGUCCUAGGAUGGACUGUUAUCAGCAGUGAUAAUGAAUAGACUACUAAUUUAUACAAAACAACACAGAUAAGUCUUACUUAAAUUUUUUGGCCGUUUUGAGCCAGGGGCUUGCUAUAUAGUUUAGGCUGGCCUUGAACUCACUGUAGCCCACAUUGGCCUCAAACUCACAAUGAUCCUCCUGCCUCAAUCUGCUGUCAUAGGCUGGGAGUCCUGGGAUUAUAGGAGUGUGCCACCACACCCAACCACAAACAGACCUCGAAAACAUUCAUAAAGAAAAAGUCAGACAUAGGGCUGGGCCUAUAGCCCACAGGUUAGGCUUGUGCUAAGCAUGCACAAGGCCUUUGUUCAAACCUCAACCCCUCCAAAAAAAAAAAAAACAAAAAAUGUUCUCCAAACAUAGUUGAAUACAUAAUAUGUGAUUCCACUUAUAUAAUGUUCAAGAACAAACAAAAGUAAUCUGCAGAGUUGGAAUCAGAAUAAUGGUCACACCUAGGGAACUGGGUAUUGACUGAAUGAGACACAAGAUGUUUUUCUCCAGUGAUAUAAAUGGUCUAUCUCUUGAAAUAAGUAGAUUAUUUGGUAUACACAUGUAUUUGAAGUAUGUGUUUAAAACACACGCUGUACUACAUAUGAAUCAUGCUUCAACUUAAUUUUUUUUGAGACAGGGUCUCACAGUGUAGCCCAGACUAACCUCAAACCUCAAUCCUCCUGUCUCAGUCCCCCAAAUCUUGGGAUUACAAGUGUGUACCACCAUGCCCAGUUACAGAGAUGUAAAAUAGUGUCACUUUUCUCAAAUACAUAAUUGUUUUUAAUGAAUCAACAAAUGUUUAUAAAUUUCUCAUUUCAGUUCCAGCCUCUCCUACAUUUUCUCAUGGCAAAAUUUGCUAUAACACACACAAACAAAUGCUCUUUGGAAAUUCACAGCCAGCAAUUUGUGUUAAAUGUUUUUUAAAGCAGAUGUGGUGGCACAUGCCUGUAAUCUCAGCAUGAGUUUCAGGUCAUCCUAGGCUACAUAGUGAACUCAAGGCUAACCUGAACUGCAUAGUGAGAUCCUAUCUCAAAAGAAAGAAAGAAAAGAACGAAAAAAAAGAGAAAAUUAAAAGACAGUUUAGAAUUAGGUGAAAAUAACUUAAAUCCCAUGAUUCUGGGAGUCCCAGAGGAUAGAAUUUCAUCUCACAGCUAACUGACAAUUACUGCUCUGAUCCACCUCCCUUUGCUGCUUAUUUGUUGUGUAGCUUAAAAGAGAAAUAAAAUGCCCACAUUUAGAAUGUGGUUCACAUUAACUACAUUUUAUUAUAUAGCUUCCCUAGUAUCUUUCUCAUUCCACAGGUUCAUUCCUGCCUCUCCUGCAUUUUCCCAUUCAACAGAUUUGGAGAACAGAACAUCUUUUCCUGAUAUCUAUUCCUCCUCAAUGGAGCUUACAUUCCAAUAGGCAGGUAGAUGAAAGCAGCAGGCCCUGUGACCAUAGGGGAGGCCAAGUCUACUUCAAGGUGACCUCUAUUUGUACUCUUGGAGGCAUAAUGGUCAUUAUAUUGUGCUGUCAGAAUUAGUCUUUGCUCCAUCGACUGAGGAAUGGAUAAAAAGAUGUGGUAUUUUUAUACAGUGGAGUACUACUCAGCUAUAAAGAAUGAUCAUAAAUAAAUGGACGCAACUUGAGACCAUACUCAUAAGUGAAAUAAAUCAAACUCACAUGUAUAAAUGUUGUAUAGUCUCCCUAGUAUAAGAAAUGGUAAGAGUACAUAAGAUUUUAUGUAAUCAUGAUUCUCCAUUACAUUGCUUUCAAGCCUUAUGUUUUCUUUUUUUUUCUUUUUUUUUUUUUUUUUGUCUUUUUCGUUUUUAUUGGUACCAGGGAUCGAACUCACGACUGCCUGCUUGCAAGGCAGGUGCUUAUGCCACUGAGCUAAAUCCCCAGCCCCAAGCCUUAUGUUUUCACUCAUUAGUUGGAAUGGUUUUAUUCUGGUUUGUUUGAUUUUAUUAUCUGUGAUGGUGUGAACAGCUAUUUUAAAGAAAACAAGACAUUAUGAUAGCCAUUGCUGAUUUAGUAUCAUCUUGCUUUGAAGUCCUACCAUGCUUUUGUUCUUCUGUUUCCUUUGGUUCUAUCAUGUUGUAUCUUACUGGAUUUUAUUAUGUGUGAUAGUAUAACCAAAUUUUUUUAUGGAAAAUGAGAUAAUACUGUAGCCAUUGUUUGUUUUCUGUUAUUUGGUUCUGAAUGCCCUGUAAUAGUUUCAUUCUCUUGAGUGGUUUUAUACUAUUUUGUUAUGCCUGAUACUAUUAUAUGUGAAAGUAUGCUCAACUAUUUCGAAGAAAGAGACAUUAUGGUAGCUACUGUUAAUAUUGGGUUGUCUUGUGGCAAAAUACUGUGUUGCUUACAUUUAUCUGUUCUGAUCUGCUUUGUUCUGUCCUCUUGUCUUAAUCUUUUUUAAAAUAAAAAAAUUUAAAAAAGAAUUAGUCUUUGCUUUAACACAUGCAUUCUCAUAUGUGUCUCUUAUCUAAUUAUGAAGUAUGACUAUGUCCAUAAUAAAGUACUCUCAUAUUCUUUCUCAAACACUAUCCUCUCUGGACUCUCAGAGAUUAAUCACUGUUUGUGAAUAAUUUGUUACCCAAUGCCCCGUAAAAUUCUUCUGUAAAUUAUCUGGGAAUUCUCUGGGUUACCAGGGCCCAAAUGUUCUUAAUUAGACUCUAUAAAAUAAAGUCACAGGCAUUUUCCAAUCUUGCCUUAGACGAUAACAAAUGUUUGUGGGUUUUGCCUGUAAGUUUUUAAAAUUACAAAGCAGAAGAAUAGAUCUUCAAACUGUGGAAUAGGUGUUCCAUAAAAUCUUUUUCUUUCCAUAGUACAGUCUUGCAAGGAACUAUGGAAGGAUAUAUUUAACAGCUGAAACUUUACAAAGAAAAGCAAAAACAGGUCACUAUCACUCAUUCUCACUUAUCCAUAGUUCAGCGAGGGCAAAGCUGUCAAUGUAUUGUGCUAGGUGAAAAGGAAGCACUCAGACUUUAGAGUUUCAGGGUAUGAUUAAAGCCUCAUGACAAUAGGGCAUGUUUCCCAGACAGUUCCAUCCAACAUCAGCACUCCAGGCAGCUCAGGACCUUUCAGAGCCUGGAAAAUACAUCCUGUGGUGCUUAAUCAUACACAUCUCGAGGCUCACAGAUAAACUCUGUUAUCAGAAGGAGGCUUGAGCCUCAAAUGAUUAUCGAGUGACUCACUUAUUCCUUCCUCUGUCCCACUAAAAUGGUUUUUUAGUGCAGAGGACAGUUCUCCAUGAGUUUAUGUCCUUGUGCAGACCUUUCCCGUGGAGCGUGAGAAUGAAAAACGUGAUUCCCAAUGUUAAGGGGUUUGCAGUCUGUGCAGCUUUUUGCUUUAUGGGAAACACCAAGUACAGAAGAAUUUAGACUAAAAGGUUAGUCUGGUUGAGAAUGAAACUUGCAAAAGAGGGAAAAAUUUAACAAGGCCUCAAAAGAUUAGUAAAAUUUUAAUAAACAUGGAUAAGAAAGAGCCACGUAUUUUUCAUACUGCAGCCUGAGUGAUCUUUCUGCAGCACAAAUCUGAUCGUUCCAUUCUCUGCUUAAAGCCCUUCAGUGAUGAGAAUGGGUAAUGCCCAGCACACAGUGCAUGAGGAAACUGGGAUUCAAAGAAGGGCUGUGCACUCCCCAAAGCCGGCUAGUUAAUAGCAGAACUAACCAGGCCCCCGUGCUCUAGGGCACUCCUGUUCUUAAGCAUCUCAACAGCCUUUCUUGGUUUAAUUCACUGAGCUAAAACUCAAGCAGCCAGCUGAGUUGUGUUCCUUUCUGGAAACUAGGGAUAAAUCUAUUUUCUUGCUUUUCCCAGUUUCUGGAGGAUACCCGCAUUCGCUGGUUUUAGCUCCUUCUUCCAUCUUCAAAGCUGAGUCCUUUGUACAUUGCUCAUCACUGUCUUCACUGAUUCUUUGCCUUCUCUUCCUGUUUCAAGACUCUUGUGAUGACCUUGGACUCAGCCAGAUUCAUCAAGGUAAUCUCCCUUCUCACCUUAGGCACAUCUGCAGUCUCCUGUGGAGUGUAAAAUAACGUAUUGCGCUGGCUCCAGGGAUUAGGAGGCUGAAACGUUUGGAGAGCACUAUUCUGGUUCCUCAAGAGUUGCAGUGAAUCUCAUUCUGGGAUGGCUACAAGAAGCUGGAAAUUGGCACCCUGUGCUGCCUUCCUAGAAGGAGUCAAGACUGACAGGAGCAUCAAGCAAAACAUCAAGCUUCUCCCUCCCCACUCUUCCUCCUGUCUUCUAGUCUUUCUCUAGUGCCCCUGCUGGGCAAGAAGUCAGCUGAUUAUGGGUAAUUAGUUUUGCAGUUUCAGUCCCAGCAUUGAAGAGCAAUGUAGAAUGGAAUGUUUGAGGCUGCAAGACAUUAGCUUAGGAACUAACAAAAAUAUCACUUAAAAAAUUAAGUUUCUGUUUCUCUGGUUGGGGUGGGGGUUGGUUUUGGGAAUUGAACCCAAGACUUUCAUACUGAACUAUACUCCCAGCCCUUUCUAUUAUUUUGAGAUGGUGGAGGUGGGUAGUUCUGCUAAAUUGCCCAGGCUGGGCUUGAACUUGCAAUCCUUUUGCCUCAGCCUCCCAGAGCACUGGGAUUACAAGUAUGUGCCACUACACUUUGGUUUUAAAAAGUAAUUUUAAUUGAUGGCCUAAGAUUAUAUUACAGACACUUCUUGAUUUAUAAUGGGUAUGUCCCAAUAAGCCAACAAAUACAUUUAAAAUAUCCAACUAUAUAAAUUGAAAAUAUCCUAAAUUGAAAAUGUGUUUAAUAUACACCUACCAGAUAUCAUACUAAGCAACACACUACACUGUAGAAUGAAUUGUUUAUCCACUGGAUCGUAGGGUUGAUUGGCACCCUGAGAAUCAUACUGUAUAGUGUCUUCCAGGAGAAGAGCAAAAUUUCCAGUAUGGUUUCUACUCCAUGUGUGUCACUGUCUCAUUAUUAUAAAGUUCAAAGUUAUAAUUUGGGUACUAUCUAUGUAUUUAAUAAAAGUUUCAUAACUCAAUAUAUAAUGGUUUUUAGAAACCAAAAAGAGAAAGAUAAUCCAUCUUUCUCUUAUUGGGGUAAAUCACAGUAUGCUGUGAGACUAUAGUAUUUAUGAUAAAUCUAUUAUUGUUAGAUAUUUUCUUAUAUUUAAUUAUAUGCACUAUAUUUUAUAUGACUGUUACAUGUACAGUAGGUUUGUUGACACCAGAAUCACUACAAUUGAAUGAUGAUGAGUUAAAUUGUGACAUUACAAUAUCAUUCAGCUAUAGGAAUUUUUCAGUUCCAUAACAAUCUUAUGGGACCACCAAUAUCUGUGCAAUCUGUCCUUGCCCAACAUGUCAUUACGAGCCAGGAGUGGUGGCAUGUGCCUGCCAGCACUCAGGAAACUGAGGCAGGAGGAUCACAUGGGGUUUGAAGACAGUCUGGGCUACAAUCAGCCCAAACUACAUAGUGAGACUCUGUCUCAAAAAAAAAGUCAUUGUGUAGCAUAUGACUGUAUGCAAAAUGAAUCUGGGGCAUCUCAUAGUGCCAAAAAAGAGAAAGUGCUCCAAAAACAAAACAGUACAAACAGACAUGCAAAACCUGGAAUCUUUCAAAGCAACAUAGGUACUAGCAAAAGAAUGCCAAUAGCCAAAGCUGAACUAAUUUAAGCAACAGAAAUAAAGUAGGGAGGUUAAGCACACACCUAGUGCUGGUCACUCAGCAGGCUGAGGCAGGAGGAUCACAAGUUUGAGGCCAGCCUGGACAAUUUAACAAGAACCUGUCUCAAAUUAAAAAAAAAAAAAGGCUGGGAAUUUAGCUCAGUGGCACAAGUGCCUGCCUUGCAAGCAGGCAGUUGUGAGUUCGAUCCCCAGUACCGAUAAAAAAGGAAAAGACAAAAAAAAAAAAAAAAAAGGCCAGAAUGUACCUUAAUGUUAACACCUUGGGUUCAGCCUGAAUCAGUCUUCUCUAUGUGUAUGUGUGUGUGUGUGUGUGUGUGUGUGUGUGUGUGUGUGUUUCACUCACACACACGCACACACACACACACACACACGUGGAAUUAACUUACUAUUAGAAUUAAAGGAGUUGAGCAGGGUGGUGCACAUCUGCUGUGCCAAACUCAGCACUUGGCAGGCUGAGGCAGGAGGGUCACAGUGACUUUGAGGCCAGUGAGUUCAAAGCUGUUCUGAACUACAUAGUGACACCUUGUCUCAAAAAAAUUUUUAAAUGUGUACUACACCAAAGAAUAUUACAGAGGCUGUGGAAAUGUGUAUAUAUAGAAAUAUUAUCAUCCACUAGGAUAAAAGACUAAUAGCCUCCAGUCAUACAAAUAGACAUACAUCAAUCAAAAGUUAGAAUUCAAAGUAUUAAGUAAGUAUCCAAGUGUACAUACUGACAUUAUUAAAUGAUCAUAUUAAUAAAUAGAGGAAAAUAAGCAGAUCUCCUAUGAGAAGCUCUAAAUAACUUAUGUCAGUACUUCACUCUCAGUGAGGUAGAGCAUAACUCCCUGCUACACACAGUGGUUUCCUUCCAAGUGUACAGUAUGGGCUGGGGUAAGUUUCAGUAGUAGAGUGCCUGCAUAGCAUAGGUGAUGCCCUUAGUCCAUCACCAGCACUAUCAUAAUAAUUUUUAAAAAGACUGUAGAAAAAUAUUCCCAAUUAAAAUGUAUUUUAUUUUUGAAGUUUUAGUUAUCAACUUGAGGCCUCAUGAAUGCUAAGCAAGUACUCUGCCACUGAGCUACACUCCCAGCCCUAAAAGCUUAUAUUUAAAAAGGCUCUUGUACUUUAAGACUCCUGAAACUUUUUAUUAUAAAAAUCUUUGCAUAUUUUAAAAAAUUAAAGUGUAAUCAUUGCUCAACCCAGAAAUGUCACUUUUCAUAAUUUCCAGUUAAAAGGUUACAAAGCAUGCAAAAUAAAUGCAAAAGAAUAGUAAUUGUAACUAUUGGCAGAAACCAAAAUAUUAGAAAUAACUUAGUUGUCCAGAUACCAGAAGGUGGUUGUAUGGUAUUAUAGUAGGAAUAAUCUUAAAGAGAAACCUUUCUCUUGUGAGUGGGUGGAACUUGUGAAUAUUAUAAACUUUAUUCCCAUAACUAGGCUGUCAGUGGAAAGUUGCUCAAGGUUUGGUUUGGUUUGGUUUGGUUUGUAUUUUAAUGAAUGUUACAUAUAAAUAAUGCCCUACCCUACCACCACCAAGACAAACCCUUGACAAGCACAGUUAUACUGAGUGGGCCUGGCCUAAUCAAAUGACAUCUUAGGAAGAGCUGAGCUCAUCCUUAAGAAAGAUAUGUGUCAGGGGCAUCAGUCAUGGAGGAGAUCCCUUGUUACUACCUUUGAAGAUGAAAUGUAACAAACUUGUAGAAGCUAAGCGCAGCUCCCAGCCGAUACCCCACAAGGGAACAGGGAUCUCAGUUCUACAACUGCAGGAAUCUGAAUUCUGCAAACAACCUGAAAAAGACCACAUAAAGCUCUCAAGUCUCAGAAAAGACAACAGCCUUGGUUUUAGCUAUGGGAAAUCCUGAGCCAAGAACCCAGACACUGUGACCUGAUAUAGGGAGACUGUCUGGUCUUUUUAUCUUUGAAUGAAAUGGAUUUAAAAAUUUAAAAUUUAAAAAACAUUGUGAGUUUAGCCAAAAAUGAAGAACCAGUAAAACUGUGGACCACAAAGGUGCAGCACAGGAUAAUAUGAUUGCUGAGAAGAAAGAGGACAAUAGAAAAAUGGCCUGAAAAUAUCACAUGAACUAGCAAGACUCCAGCCUUUGCUGCCUCAAAAUUGCAAAAGAAAAAGACUUUGAUUUAAGAAGAGAGCCCCAGAGCCCAUGUUCCAGAAUAGCAGUGGCCUAGCAAAGUUGAUUAGGAUUUGGUUCAUAGGCCCCUAAAACCAAGAGAGUAGGAAGCCUGGAUCCUGCUCCAGCUUGUGGCAGACCUUAGCAUCAUCCAUGUGGUGCUGGUUUUAGGUGCAUGCAUAAUACAAGAGCAGAACCAGGUAUGGUGGUACACAUCUGUAAUUCCAGCACGUGGGAGACUGAGGCAGGAGGAUUAUCUCAAGUUCAAGGCCAGCCUAGGCCACACAGCAAGACCCUGUCCCAUUAAAAACAAAACAAUGCAAGAGUUACGGGGUCAGGAAGGCUUCCACGCAGAUUUCAGAAGGCCAGGGAGGCCAGGAAGUGUGCCCCUGAGACGCAGUGCGAAGUUGUGAGUGUGAAGCUGAAGGUGCAGUGGAGACUCCAGAAAGUAGAAAAGCCAGGAAUGCAGAUUGUUUAAAGAAAACUUCAAGGAAGCAGCAAACCCAGCCCAAGAGAGAAGCUAUAGGUGUUAACCACCACUGGCAGUGCCAUAGUGGCUGAAUCACCUGAGCCCUUUGGAGCUCACAACUUGCUACAGAUUGCCCUGGAUACUAGACAUUGAAACUACGGGACUUAAUAUUUGCCCUACUAGAUUUUUUUUUUUUUUUUUUUUUGUCUUUUUGAGACAGGGUCUCGCUAUGCAGUUCAGGCUGGGUUUGAGCUUACUUUGUAGCCCAGGCUGGUCUCGAACUUGCAAUGAUCCUCCUGCCUCAGCCUCCCGAGUGCUGGGAUUACAGGUGUGAGCCACUACGCCUGGCUCUCCCUAAUAGAUUUUGAACUUACUUUGGACCUGUUUCUUUGCAUUCCCCUAUUUGUAUCUUUUGGAAUGGUAAUGUCUGUCUUGUGCUGUUGAAUGUCAGAAACUGUUUACUUUUUUUUCAUUUGUACUAGUGUCUAAGAGUUUGCCUCAAAUCUCAGAGGACACUUUGGGUGGACUUUUCAGCAUUGCUGAAACUUUGGCAACUCUUGGAGAUGGAUUAAGUCCAUUUUGAAUAAAGGAAUGUUUACGAGUCUUUGGGUGACUGGGGCAGAAUGUUACAGCUUGUGUCUAGAUGUCUCCCAAAGCCUCAUGUUGUCACAGGUUGAGGAUUUUUUGAGUGCGGCUGGAUCUAGAGUGUAUGAUGCUGGGAUUAAGUGUGUGAUUACUAAAUCAGUCCACUAACUGAUUGGGCACCUUCUCUAAGCUUGGUAGCCUAGAUAGAAUACAAAAGGGACAGAAGGAGACUGCUAAGGUCACGUGGACUUGCUGCUUGCUGCCUUCUGCCUGCCCUUUUUUGCCAUGCACAGUUUCACCUGGGUGAAGCCCUUCUCCCAUGUCAUUGUGUCUUGGAGCUAGUCAACUAUAAAUUGAAAUCUCUACAAACUGAGCUGAAAUAAACCUUUCCUUCUUUUGCCUUUGAGUGUUGCAUACUUUGUCUCAGCAAUGAAAAAAGUAACUAACACAAGGAGUACUGGUAUUGGAUUUUCCCUAAAAUUUUUGUAGAAUUUAACAGUGAAUCGCUCAUGAUGUGGGGUUUCAUUAGUUGGUAGUUUUUAUUAUUUAUUACUGUUUCAAUAGUAUUGCCCGGUAUUGGAUUAUUGAGGGUUUUAUAUCUUCUUGGUUCUGUUUUGGUAAUUCAUAGGUAGCUAGUGUCAUGCAUGACCCAGAUGAGACCCUGUCAUCAAACAUGCCAUUCUCAGAAAAUGACAGGAAUCCACUAAUGGGCCAUGCUGUCCUUACUACACAAAGCACAGGGACAUGAAGAUGAGACCAGAAUAGGACAUGCAAUCUCUCCGGCGUCAAAGAGUCUGAUGUUAUCUACACACCUGCACUGACCGUUCUGACCAUUCUGUGAACCUUGACCACUGGCGCCCCACCCCCCAGAUUCCUUAAAUGACAGUUCCCUUCCCAAAUCCUGUAAAACUCUGCCUCUCCUCUGGUUGAGGGCUAACAUCUUUCUUGAUCUGGGCCCCUCUGCACCUGUAGGAAAUAAACUAGCCUGGUUGCUAAACACGAAAA